rnacentral:rRNA from 1 species
AACGAACGCUGGCGGCAUGCCUAACACAUGCAAGUCGAACGAGCCCUUCGGGUCUAGUGGCGCACGGGUGCGUAACGCGUGGGAACCUGCCCUUAGGUUCGGAAUAACUCCCCGAAAGGGGUGCUAAUACCGGAUAAUGUCUUCGGACCAAAGAUUUAUCGCCUUUGGAUGGGCCCGCGUUGGAUUAGCUAGUUGGUAGGGUAAAAGCCUACCAAGGCGACGAUCCAUAGCUGGUCUGAGAGGAUGAUCAGCCACACUGGGACUGAGACACGGCCCAGACUCCUACGGGAGGCAGCAGUGGGGAAUAUUGGACAAUGGGCGAAAGCCUGAUGCAGCAAUGCCGCGUGAGUGAUGAAGGCCUUAGGGUUGUAAAGCUCUUUUACCCGGGAUGAUAAUGACAGUACCGGGAGAAGAAGCCCCGGCUAACUUCGUG